rnacentral:rRNA from 1 species
UACGGGGGGGGCAAGCGUUGUCCGGAUUUAUUGGGCGUAAAGAGCGUGUAGGCGGCCAGGUAGGUCUGGUGUGAAAACUCGAGGCUUAACCUCGAGAUGUCAUCGGAAACCAUCUGGCUAGAGUCCGGAAGAGGAGAGUGGAAUUCCUGGUGUAGCGGUGAAAUGCGCAGAUAUCAGGAAGAACACCAAUGGCGAAAGCAGCUCUCUGGGACGGUACUGACGCUAAGACGCGAAAGCGUGGGGAGCGAACAGG